UGCAAACUUCUUUUCAGACAUCAAUUGAGCAGUCUUAAAAAUACAAUGCGGCGAGAACGCGGAUUAUGUGAACAACCCUGGCUAGACUUACAACUCAAUAGGUGAAACAACAAAGAAAUGAAGGCAACAAGAACCAAAUCACCACCCCAUGACUAAUAAUAUCUGAACACGCUACAAAAUGUGUAACUAUUUUUUCCCUGGGUACCAUGAUGUGGCACCAGCAGGCUGCAAAAGCUCCUUGUAUGGCUAGGGUUGGCGAUCUCCAGGCUCGUGAUGAAACUAAGAACCUUCAAGAGCGGCUGGGGUGGAUGAUUUGGCUCGCGCUCCUGCCGUCUUUAGGCUGCAACUGGUUCAUUUACAG
rnacentral:lncRNA from 1 species